rnacentral:rRNA from 1 species
UACUGGCAAGUCGAGCGAAUGGAUUAAGAGCUUGCUCUUAUGAAGUUAGCGGCGGACGGGUGAGUAACACGUGGGUAACCUGCCCAUAAGACUGGGAUAACUCCGGGAAACCGGGGCUAAUACCGGAUAACAUUUUGAACCGCAUGGUUCGAAAUUGAAAGGCGGCUUCGGCUGUCACUUAUGGAUGGACCCGCGUCGCAUUAGCUAGUUGGUGAGGUAACGGCUCACCAAGGCAACGAUGCGUAGCCGACCUGAGAGGGUGAUCGGCCACACUGGGACUGAGACACGGCCCAGACUCCUACGGGAGGCAGCAGUAGGGAAUCUUCCGCAAUGGACGAAAGUCUGACGGAGCAACGCCGCGUGAGUGAUGAAGGCUUUCGGGUCGUAAAACUCUGUUGUUAGGGAAGAACAAGUGCUAGUUGAAUAAGCUGGCACCUUGACGGUACCUAACCAGAAAGCCACGGCUAACUACGUGCCAGCACCGCGGUAAUAAA